AUCACCCACUUAGGAACAGCCUCGAAAAAAAGUCCUGGCCAAAGGGCGAGUCUCCUGCUGAGAGCAAAUUUCAACCAGCACCACAACGGAAAACCCGCUGAGAAUGACAACAGCUGCCCUUUUCUCAUUCUCUUGUUUGUCAGGUCUUGCUUUUUAAUCAGAGGAAGACCGGUAUCCAUCAGUUUCAGCUGUGAGCCCAAGAGCAUACAAAUUGUCUUAAUGAAAAUUAGCUAUUAAGAAAGCAACAUGAGGUAGGAGGACAGGAAGAUCAAAACUCCGGGAAACAACCAGAGGUGCACCUUGGCUUUGAGAAUUAGAGCGAGGCCUAGAAGGGUCGCAUUAGCCCAGAUUCUUCGGCUUCCAACAAAUGGGAGACCCCUCCAACCUUCCUCAAGAAAAGAAGAGCUUAUCACCACAAGAGAGGAAGAGCCCAGGGAACUUCCUUACAUGCAGAAGUGAAACAGAGUGGCACGAAGGACUAAAUCUUAAGCCAGAAAGACCGAUUCUCCAGCCCUUCGGUGACCCACUUCUGAAUGGCUUCCACCUCUCCACUGUUUGUUGAGUGAAUAAAUGGAAGGAGGAAUGAUCAGUGGCAGCAAGACGGUGGUGUGGAAAUGAAUGUUUGGUUGUUUUUGCC